AUGAGCACAUUGAACUUAAAAAAAGAGGGGAAGCAGAACCAAGUCAAGAUGAUAUGGGUCGCCCCUUCUUCUUGCGCCAAAGAUCUUACCAUUUCCGAAGGAACUGGGGCUACAUUUCUUUUCAAUUUCCAUUCAAGAGUUUCUAUCUGUUUCCACGCCCUUUUCUUGAGACCUCGAAACAUGAGGACAAAUUACUUCUCUUAG
rnacentral:rRNA from 1 species